UCCUGGCUCAGGAUGAACGCUAGCGGCAGGCUUAAUACAUGCAAGUCGUGGGGCAGCAUGAGUAGCAAUACUUGAUGGCGACCGGCAAACGGGUGAGGAACACGUACACAACCUUCCUUCAAGCGGGGAAUAGCCCAGAGAAAUUUGGAUUAAUACCCCAUAAUAUAUUUGAUAAGGCAUCUUAUUAAUAUUAAAGCUUCGGCACUUGAUGAUGGGUGUGCGGCUGAUUAGAUAGUUGGCGGGUAACGGCCCACCAAGUCUACGAUCAGUAGCUGAUGUGAGAGCAUGAUCAGCCACACGGGCACUGAGACACGGGCCCGACUCCUACGGGAGGCAGCAGUAAGGAAUAUUGGAUAAUGGACGAAAGUCUGAUCCAGCCAUGCCGCGUGAAGGAUUAAGGUCCUCUGGAUUGUAAACUUCUUUUAUAUGGGACGAAAAAGGGCAUUCUUGUUCACUUGACGGUACCAUAUGAAUAAGCACCGGCUAACUCCGUG
rnacentral:rRNA from 1 species